GCCUGUUUAUCAAAAACAUGGCUCUUUGUAAUAUAGUAGAUAAAGAGUCGGACCUGCCCGGUGAUAAUUUUUUAACGGCCGCGGUACCCUGACCGUGCAAAGGUAGCAUAAUCAUUUGCCUUGUAAUUUAAGGCUAGUAUGAAAGGUUUGACAAGAAUAUAGCUGUCUCCUUUUAGUUAAACAGAACUUUACUUAUAAGUGAAGAGACUUAUAUAAAAUUAAUAGACAAGAAGACCCUAUCGAGCUUUAAAAAAAUUAAUAGGAAUAGAUGAAAAUAGAUAAAUAAAAUCAAAUCUAUUAAAGAUUUUGGUUGGGGCGACUAAGGAACAACUAAAGCUUCCUAAUUAAGUUAAACAUUCAAGUAAUGAUCCAGAAAAUUCUGAUUAAAGGAAUUAGUUACCGUAGGGAUAACAGCAUUAUCUUUUUUGAGAGCUCUUAUCGAAAAAAAGGUUUGUGACCUCGAUGUUGGACCAGAAUAUCCCAAAGAUGCAGCAGUCUUUAAAGGUUGGUCUGUUCGACCAUUAAAAUUCUACGUGAUCUGAGUUCA
rnacentral:rRNA from 1 species